UUAGCCAACAAACCAUGGCGGAACACCCACACACUCUCUCUCUCCCUCUCUCUUUGUCUCCUCAAGAUCAUCAGCAACACGCCCAAUGCUCAGAACACAACCCUGCUUCUGCGUCUACGUGAAGCAUGGCUGCAGGUGCAUGAGGACUGACCUCUCUUUAUUUCUUUUUUACACUUCUGCUAGGAAGAGAGAUAGAUAGAUAAAAAGAGGAGAAGAAGGAGGAGGAGGAGGAGGAGGAGGGAAAUGAGCUCAGAAUGCAGCAGCGGCUGCCAGUCUGGUUGGACCAUCUACUUGGUCCACUCCUCCGAUGACCAGAGUGCUCUUUCCCACAAGCAUGGUGGUGGUUGCUUUCGACCGGAAGUGGAAGAGGAAGAGGAAGAGGAAGACCUGUCCAUGGUCUCCGAUGCAUCUUCUUGGCCGCCGCAUUUUGACGGAGCUGGCUAUUGCUGCGUUUUUUCUGCGCCAGUUCCAACCGACGACGGCGGGGAGAAGGGCGGAGCAGCAGGAGAGCAACAACCACAGAUUCAGCACGCUGUUCUGGAGGACACUGCCAGUUCCCAACUCUGCAGCAACACUAACAAGAGCAAGAGACCCAUGGAGGAAUUGCUGGACUCUUCUUCUUGUGACUUAUCCACCACCCAAUCAAAAGCAAAGCCAACCUCAACAACACCAGUUAAGUGGCCAUUAAUACAUAUCUCCACCUCCACCACUGUCUCGACAUUAUGCUUAAUGUGAUCACAUUAAUUUGUUUGUGUUGUGUUCCACAGAGACAGGGAUCGAGGAAACAAAGGAGGAAGGAAUAUGAGGUAGCAGAGUGAAGCUCGAAGGGAUCUGUUCAGUGUUUUGUCCGCACCCUGCUCUGAUUCCUCCCUCCCUACCCCCGACCCACAGACAUUUAGUCUACUGUUAUGGAGACAAGGAGUCAAUUGGAGAGAGAAUCCACCAGACGUGUCAGGAGAAGGAUUACAAGAACAUACACCAUUAAAGUUCCUUUGUCUUCUUCUGCAUUGCAGAUAUAUAGGGAAAACACACACUUCAAUUGUGAUCAGUGUAUCUGUGAACCUAUAGUUGUGAAGCUUUGAAGGCCAGGCUGGAGGAAUUUCUGCUUCGGGCUAUGCCAGCGACACUGAAACAAAAGGAGCAAACUUAAAGCAUCACAAAAUCAGAAUGAUGGCAUCGUCUCCUUCCUUCAAACAAUGUGCGAGGGCAAUUAGGGCCAUAAUAUUGCUCGCAUUGGUUUUGGCUGCAGAGCACAUGACGCUGACAGUAAUGUGAUCAGACCUUUUAUUUUCUACUGCAGCUUUGGGAGGGAUGAAAUGUGAAUGGCGUACAACUUUCAUCUUCCAUCUAAAAUGAAUAUAAUUAGCUAGGGGAGAGAGCAAGGAUGAGUAGUUUGUUAUAUAUAUCUAGUGUAGACUAUAUAUGAAUGGUAUUUGGAGUAGACAACUCAACUCCCCUAGGGUUCCUUCAUCUAGGAUCCCUAAGAAAUCUUCUCUCGUUUGAAAAAAAAAAUAUAUAU